UACAGAGGUCUCAAGCGUUGUUCGGAUUCAUUGGGCGUAAAGGGUGCGUAGGCGGCGCGGUAAGUCGGGUGUGAAAUCUCGGAGCUUAACUCCGAAACUGCAUUCGAUACUGCCGUGCUUGAGGUCUGGAGAGGAGACUGGAAUUUACGGUGUAGCAGUGAAAUGCGUAGAUAUCGUAAGGAAGACCAGUGGCGAAGGCGAGUCUCUGGACAGUUACUGACGCUGAGGCACGAAGGCCAGGGGAGCAAACGGG
rnacentral:rRNA from 1 species